GACAGAGGCCCCAAGCGUUAGGCGGAAUCACUGGGCUUAAAGCGUGUGUAGGCGGAUCGUUAAGUGUCUUGUGAAAUCCCACGGCUCACCCGUGGAACUGCUGGGCAUACUGGCGAUCUUGGGCCAACUAGGGGCAGCCGGAACAAGCGGUGGAGCGGUGAAAUGCGUAGAUAUCUGGAGGAACACCGGUGGCGAAGGCGGGUCUCUGGGCCGAUACUGACGCUGAGGAGCGAAAGCGUGGGGAGCGAACAGG
rnacentral:rRNA from 1 species